GCUCUUUAUUUUUUUUGAUCAAUAUAUAUCACGGCCCACAUUCUCAAUAUCAAUAGAUAAUACAUCUGAUAGAAUAUUCAAUAUUCGAUAAACAGAAUAUUCACUGAAUUCAGAGCCAGUGCCGCACAGCAUUCUGGGAGAUGCAUUUAGAGGAAGGUUUUAGCCACUCUUUGGUUACCUAGCAACUCAUUCCUUCUUUGGUCACCUAGCAACGACCUGUUGAGUAAUUUAAGCAGCAGCAGUUUAAGGUUUCACCACUCACAGCU